GAUGAACGCUGGCGGCGUGCCUAAUACAUGCAAGUCGAACGAGGUGCUUUUGUAGCAAUACGAGAGUAUCCUAGUGGCGAACGGGUGAGUAACGCGUUGGUGACCUACCCCAAAGUGUGGGAUAACAGUCCGAAAGGAUUGCUAAUACCGCAUGUGGUCUUCGGAUUUAGAAACUGAUGACUAAAGGAGCAAUUCGCUUUGGGAGGGACCUGCGUCCCAUCGGCUAGUUGGUGAGGUAAUGGCUCACCAAGGCUACGACGGGUAGGGGACCUGAGAGGGUGACCCCCCACAAUGGAACUGAAACACGGUCCAUACACCUACGGGUGGCAGCAGUAGGGAAUAUUGCACAAUGGGCGAAAGCCUGAUGCAGCAACGCCGCGUGUGCGAUGAAGGCCUUCGGGUCGUAAAGCACUUUUCUGAGGGAUGAGCAAGGACAGUACCUCAGGAAUAAGUCUCGGCUAACUACGUGCCAGCCGCCGCAGUAAUAC
rnacentral:rRNA from 1 species